rnacentral:tRNA from 1 species
GAGAGCGUAGCUCAGUUGGUAGAGCAAGGGACUUUUAAUCCCUGGGUCCUGGGUUCGAGCCCCAGCGCUCUCA